rnacentral:sRNA from 1 species
GUGUGGAUCUGGGUCGGAGAGAUAAAGUGAAUGUGGGUGUCAAUGCCACCGGCGGUGACGAUCAGGCCCUCUCCGGCAAUGGCCUCGGUGGAACUGCCAAUGAUCAUACCCGGCGUGACUCCAUCCAUGAUCUGUGGAUUGCCUGCUUUGCCAAUGCCGGAGAUCCGGCCGUCCUUGAUGCCGAUAUCCGCCUUGUAGAUACCGGUGCUGUCAAUGAUGACAGCGCUUGUGAUGACGGUGUCCAGACAUUCUUCGUCGGUGUGCGUGGCCGACUGUCCCAUGCCGUCGCGC